rnacentral:lncRNA from 1 species
AUGAGUGUGACAGUGAGAGCCUUAUGACUGUGACCCUAGGCAGUCUGACUGUGGGCUUCAUGAUGGUUGUCACUGGUCUGGCUGUUAAAAUCAGGAAACAGCAGAAAGCUUUGAAUAAAGAGCUGCAUCCUCAAAGAAACAAGGUUCUGGUCUCUAAAUACAUGGACUCUGCAGCACUGAGGUUCCUUCCAGAGACAAGAAGAAGCAGGACACCAGAAGUGGAAACUCAUGUUUUUAUUUUCUUGGUCAAAGUCACUGCUGUUGUUUUGUCUGCCUCUAAUCUUCAUCUUAGAGCAGCAAGGAUGUAUUUGACGUUUGAUGAGGAGGAGCCAUGACAGGACAGUGAUGACACUGAUGGCAAACUGACUCAUGGGGGGAGUCAAAUGGUCUGUAGGUUGAGUAGGUGGAGUGUG